UACUAUCUGCUGGUGAAAGAUUUACAGU
rnacentral:piRNA from 1 species